GACGAACGCUGGCGGCGUGCUUAACACAUGCAAGUCGAACGGUAAGGCCCUUCGGGGUACACGAGUGGCGAACGGGUGAGUAACACGUGGGUGAUCUGCCCUGCACUUCGGGAUAAGCCUGGGAAACUGGGUCUAAUACCGGAUAGGACCCUGGGAUGCAUGUCCUGGGGUGGAAAGCUUUUGCGGUGUGGGGAGGGGCCCGCGGCCUAUCAGCUUGUUGGUGGGGUGAUGCCCUACCAAGGCGACGACGGGUAGCCGGCCUGAGAGGGUGACCGGCCACAGUGGGACUGGGAUACGGCCCAGACUCCUACGGGAGGCAGCAGUGGGGAAUAUUGCACAAUGGGCGCAAGCCUGAUGCAGCGACGCCGCGUGAGGGAUGACGGCCUUCGGGUUGUAAACCUCUUUCAGCACCGACGAAGCGCAAGUGACGGUAGGUGCAGAAGAAGGACCGGCCAACUACGUGCCAGCCGCCGCCGUAA
rnacentral:rRNA from 1 species